rnacentral:tRNA from 1 species
GCCUUCGUGGUUUAAUUGUAAGCACACUUGACGCGUAUUCAAGAGGUCUAGGGUUCGAGUCUCGCCGAGGGCA